AUUUGAAAUAAAUACAGCACAAUGCAACCCCACUGACAUGGCAGAGGGAAUGUCCGAGCACAUGGACGCAGAAGACACAGCAGUUUGUAUCCAGAAGAAGUCAGUGGAACAGAUCUUUGA